UAAAUUUAAAGUUGCUUUAUUUUGUUUGUUAAGUAUUUAACGAUAGUAUUUAUAAAAGGUGACCCAGGAGAAUAUAAAUUUAUAGCGAUUGAUAAUGGCGUGAGAGCCAUAACCAACGGUAUACAGAAUAUUCCGGCUAGGAGGGAUUGGACCUGUUGGUCUUUCAGUCGAUCCACCAAUUCAUCAGCUGGCUGCAUCCGGUGGUCUUGGCGGUGGCCGACGACGGGGAUGGAUUUCGAGUUGAUCGGUGAGUUCAUCGUUGAUUGUAAGUGUGGAAAGUCUCUCAACAGCAUAGAAGCAAAUUUGCCUCAUCGCAGCAUUCUGAGAAGAUGGUUUUUGGCGAAAACUUUGUCCAUCGGUAGACUGUAGAAGAAAGAGCAAUUUUGCACAUUAUACACCAUGGCGAGUUGCCCUUCCAAUGCUCGAGACUUUGUCUGAAUGAAGCUCCAAAUGGGGGAAACAAAGGGGCAUGAGAAGAACAAGUGUGAAUGGAUCUCUGCAAUGGAUUUUGAAUAUUGAGAAAAGAGGUGCUGCCUUUGUCCAGGGGACAUUUGGGAAUUGACCAAAGAUAUGGGAUAUAGUUUGCUUGAGUGAGUAAUUCCCAGGGGGAGAGGAAAGCCAUUGGAAUGUGUCACUGUUUUGUGGUUGUGGCGGUGGAAGGAGGAGAAGCUCAGGGAAAAGAAGAGUAAUGUAUUGUGGAAAGGACCAGGCACCUCCAUGAAUGAAGUAGCUGACCUUGGUUUCAAGUGGGAUGUCAGAAGCAAUGAUAUGUUGCUCCCCAAUUCUAUCUGCAAAUGGGCCAUUUCCAAUUUUGUGACUAAUAAACUUCUUGGUAAGUGGUCUUACUUGCAGAAUCUUCCUCCAGCUCCAUGAGCAAGACUGCGGAAUCUUCAAAUCCCGAAAGUUGGAGUCUUUAAUCAGAUUGCUGGGGGAUUUUGUGACAACCUGCUAACCUGCAUCGUGCGAGCAUGGGACUACAAGAUUACGAAAAUGGUGCAAUGGCUGAACCUUCUCUCAGUUUCUGAACAUUAACUAGUCCAAGAAUAUCGCAUUGCAAGAGUCAGCAUUGUCACUUGACUAAAGAAAGGAUACAGACUUUCUCAGAUCAAGAUCAACGGUAGAAUUGAAGAAUAGUAUUGGGUUUGCUAAAUUUCCUAUAUUUAAUAAGCUCAAGCAACUGGAGUUGGGAAUUAGUGCUAGUGAUGAUGAAGACCUUAUUGUUUUUGCUCCCCUGAGGCAUGUACUUUCUUGUAUAAAUUUGUGUUGGAGCUGCAAUGGUCCAAGCCCAUUCUGAGAAGAAAAUGGCUAAGGUCAGAACCUUAAGGAAGUCUUUGGGAGUUCAUGGAGACCCAAGGAGAAAAAAGCAGCGAGAAAGCGUACCAAGUACCUUGGAACCGAACUUCCUUCUGCAAUUGCUUAUACAAUGAUGAAGUUCGCAUCUUUUGAGACCAUUGUGGAGAUGCUCUACAAGUAUGCUAUCCCAACUCCAAAAGACCAGUGCAGCAAAAGCUUGCAGCUUGGGGUGAGCUUUGCUGGUGGAUAUGUUGCUGGUGUAUUCUGUGCGAUCGUAUCACAUCUUGCUGAUAAUCUGGAUGUGAGUUAAAGAUGCUGAUACUAAAAUAUGUAAUUUCUUUAAAUAUAUAUAUAUGUGUAUAUAUAUAUAUAUAUAUGUAUUAUCCUGGCAAACUAGGGUGAGGAGGGACUCGAACACGGCACACCCGCUCAGAGAGUUGGGCUCUCUACUAACUAGGCCACUGAGUAAUGCUAAUGCCCUUCUAUUUUCUUUCUUUAGGGUCACUGUGUUUGUUAUACUUAUUUAUUUGUGCAUGUUACACGCUGUAGAGAAGCUAGGCUUGUGGGGUUUGUUUACCCGUGGCCUUCCUCUUCUUAUUGUCAAGAUCGGAACCCUUACUGGAGCGCAGUGGGGUAUCUAUGAAGCUUUCAAAGUUUUUGUUGGGUUGUAAGUUUUUUCUGUUUUAGUUAUGAUUUUCCCUGUGGAAAUUUAUAUUAUACUUAUAUGUCCUUAUUAUCUAAUUUUAACCUACAUAUAUGGAUGUUCUUGUUUUCAGCUAUUUCUCAACAGUGUAGUAUACUUCUUUACCUUGAAAUAACGAGGUUUUGUUUCUCCUUUUAGGCCAACUACUGGUGGUACUGCACCUGCGAAGGUGUGAACUGCUGCGAUUAUGAUUGACAAAUACAAUGCUCUUCGCCUGUAAGACUAUGAGAAAGUGAUACUCUUUUUUUGUUGGAUCAAUAAUGUAGGAUUUCCGAUGCCUGGUAUGAUUGAUAUUUGAUGCUUGCAGGGAUUGUAUUCGAUCCAAGACAUAUUAGUAUCUGUUUGCAUUAUUCAUUUUUUUUGCAGUUUACCCUCUGAUUCUUUAGAGGAUUGAUUUCAUCCUCUUUUCUCUGCCAAAAAAAUAGCAACUUGAUAUGAUGGAUUAAUGGUUUUGCCAUUUGGAGGAAUCUUGUGCUGAUAAUAAUGUGGCAAAUUCAGGUUCUUUUGUAGUCUGCCAUGUACCAUAUUGUUUUGACGAUAGUUGAUGCUUUAAAUCUGUUAAUGUGACAAAUUCCAGUUGAUCAAAUUUAUUCUAAAAUUUCCAUGUUGACACGGCA